UUUGGGUAAGGAAAGAGAGGUUGGGAAGAAUGUGGGAAUUAAGGUUCCUUGAUGAACCAUUUUGCUAUCUUAAGAAUGAUGUGUUGGGUUGUGUCCAUUUAGGACCCGCUUUGGCCCGCGUCCAACGUUUUCGGGCUGGAGAUGAUGGGCCGCACCCCCUCAUUUGCUUUUUUUGACCCUGCUAUUUUUCUUCUUUACUUAUUCUUUAUUCGAUUUUCUUUUUUUAAACUUAUUUAUUUUUAAAAGUU
rnacentral:lncRNA from 1 species